UUUGCGGAACCGCAGUCGGACUUUUUUAUACUCAACCCUUUUCCGGAAGGAUCGGCGAUUUAUUGGUACGUCAUGCGUCCAAUGGUUGUUGUGAAUUCCAGCCUAAGUUGUCCACUUGGGUUUCCGGUCUUUCAAAAGCCACUCUUAGUCAACUAGCGUAGAGCAAAACCAAAUCCCGAUUUCUAGCGCAUUUUGAACUAAGUCGACCUAACACCCAAGGCGUGUUGGGCCCAUUAGAAGUCUACCUCGUGUCUAUUUGGCCAAUUGGUCAAUAAAAGACAAUCAUAUUUAUGUGUUAAAUUUGUUGGAUGUUUACGUCAUUUCGCAAAACAAUGUCCCUUCGAGUAAGGAGUUUAAGAGUUUGUUUGAGUCAAAUUAGGAUAAAAUUACAAUUGCAUCUGAAGACGUUUACAUUUAGAGAUGGAUGCUUAGUAUAUGAUUGUACCCCUGUGUGAGACCGAUUAUUUGUAUCUUUUUUUUCCUAUUAUGUAUACCCAUUCAAUUUAUUUAUGAUGUUUGUAUAGAUUUUAAUUUUUUGGGGAUAAUAGAAUUUUGUCAAAUGGUGUUAUACAUUCUUCAGAUCGGUAGGCCUAUCUUUGAUAGAAAAGGGUCACAUAUUUGUAUAGGAUGCGCAUUAAUUGUUUAUAUGCUAUGUGAUAUAAUUGAGUUUGUUUCAAUCAAAAUAGUGCUUAUGUGUUUAAUUAAUUUUAUAUUUAUUUAUUUAUUUGUGAUAUUUUGCAUUAUUCAUUAUGAAUAUAAAUUAACACUUUUAUCUUUUGAGUUUAUCUUAUUUUUAAGCGAGAAAUUGAUCUAAAGAGAAUUUAGAAGUCAUUGUUCGUCCAGAAUUGCAAGGGACAAGAGAAUUCGCGAAGUUCAAGUGUUUAUAUCUCACAAGACAUUAAUAUUCAGUCAAAAAGAUAAAUCAGGGGAGUCUUUGACUAUAAGGUCACACUCAUUUUUUAUUUUAUUUUUGUUAUUUUUCAUGUUGGCCCUGCUUUCACAUAUUUCUCAUAUUUUGCAGGGAAACCGUCCCCGACAACAGUCGGGGAUGGUGAUAAUAACGUAUAGUUCUUAGGAAUCAUUGGGAGUAUACACAAUUUGAAGAGACAUCCAAAAGAGAAUACAACAAGUGGUUAUUGUAGAAAUUCGGAGGUCACAUUUAACAAACAGUAUAAAGAUCAACAGUUAAGAGGACGCAAAACAUAUUGGUGGAAACAGUCAGAAGACACUCUCUGACUAAAGAUUUCAACGGCCCUAUAUUUACAAGUUAUCACUCUAAGUUGGUUUAAAUUUUUGAAUAAUUUUAUACCCUAUCUGCACGAACUACGCGUACCUAAUUUUCAUUUUCAUGAGAUACGUAGGCAACCCAUUUUGGGUUCGGUAUUCACUUUUUCAUUUUUUU
rnacentral:lncRNA from 1 species